GAUGAACGCUGGCGGCGUGCCUAAUACAUGCAAGUCGAGCGAACGGACCAGAAGCUUUCUUCUCUGAUGUUAUCGGCGGACGGGUGCGUAACACGUGGUUAACCUACCUAUAAGACUGGGAUAACUUCGGGAAACCGUAUCUACUACCGGAUAAUAUUUUGAACCGCAUUGUUCCAAAGUAAAAGACGGUCUUUCUGUCACUUAUAGAUGGCUCCGCGCUGCAUUAGCUAGUUGGUAAGGUAACGGCUUACCAAGGCGACGAUGCAUAGCCGACCUGAGAGGGUGGAGGGACAGACUGGAAGAGAGACAGAGCAGAGACACCGAGGGGAGGAAGCAGUAGGGAAUCCUACGCAAGGGGGGAAAGGCGGACAGAGCAAAGCGGGGGGAGGGAUGAAGGAGUUAGGAUCGGAAAACGAUGUUAGUAGGAAAGAAGAAAUGUGCAAGUAACUGUGAAGAUAAUGACGGUACCGAAAGAAAAAGCCACGGCUAACUACGUG
rnacentral:rRNA from 1 species